rnacentral:snRNA from 1 species
UGACUAAUUGCUCAAUGUGCAUCCCUCCUGAAGCUGCAAGCUAGGUGACAAGUGGUGACCACACAGAUAGAGGAGGAAUGUUUCCUUGGUGAAGGGCAUACAAGUAGCAGCUCUCCCUAGGCAGAACCUCCAAAGAAGCUCUCAAGUACCUUACUCAGUGAUAGAGCUCAGAGGAGAAAACUGUCAUUGGUAAAAUCACUCCUAACACCUACUGGUGACCUUCAAGCCUGCCA